rnacentral:SRP_RNA from 1 species
GCCAGGAACGGUGGCUCACGCUUGUAAUCCCAGCACUCUGGGAGGCUGAGGCAGGUGGAUCACCUGAGGUCGGGAGUUCGAGACCAGCCUGACCAACAUGGUGAAACCCCAUCNAGUAGAGAUGGGGUUUCACCAUGUUGGUCAGGCUGGUCUCGAACUCCCGACCUCAGGUGAUCCACCUGCCUCAG